rnacentral:lncRNA from 1 species
CCAGGUCGAGGCAGGGCAGCAGGGCAGACGGGCGGGGCGGCAGCUGUGAGUUCUGGCCGAGCCCAGGAACGGCCCUGCGAAAGGGCUGGCCUGACUCUUCAGGCCAAGAACUGUGGGCAGAUCUGUCUGCUUUCUUUCUGCUUCUCUCAAGGGGACGAUGUCCAAAGAUGGAUCAGAAGCUGAUGGAACUCAAGGUCUAUGCCCUAGGUGCAUUUAUACCCCCUGGCCUAACAGCACAGGGCACACGGAAAAAUGAAUGAAUUCAUGAAUUUCUGUAUCCAGGAUUAGAGCGUCACCGCACUGUUCUGAUAUCACAGUCUGGUCAUGGAAAGGCACAAAUAAGGAAGUUUCUGUGAAUUGUGGACUGAACCCUGAGUGCUCCUUGGGAAUCUUUUUAGAUCACCCCUUAUCACACAGGACAGUUGUGGGGAGAACACAAGGGUGUCCUUGGGGAAACUGAGGUGAGUAGGAUUUAGUCUGCAUUCUAUGAUUCUACACAUUUAGAUGUUGAGGACUUUGAGAACUCAUUGUUGCUUCUUUCAAGCCAGGAUUAAAACUCAGGCUUUCUAACUCUAGAGUCCUCCUGUUAACAAUUCUGCUAUCUUACCGUCAGGGAAAGGAGGAGAAUCAGGGCUAGUCCUCCUCGAGAUAAAUUUAAAAUCUGGUUGGGGAUAUGAAACAGAAAUGCAUAUAUGAUGACUCAUAAUACAAAAUAGGCUUUCCCUGGUGGCUCAGAUGGUAAAGAAAAUGCCUGCAAUGUGGAAGACCAGGGUUUGAUCCCUGGGUCAGGAAGACUCCCCUGGAGAACAGAAUGGCAACCUACUCCAAUAUUCUUGCCUGGAGAAUCCCAUGGAAGAGGAGUCUGGCAGGCCAUAGCCCAUGGGGUAUCAAAGAGUCGGACACAACUGAGCGACUUUCAUUUCAUUUCAAUAAAAGAGAACGGUAUGAGAUUCUUUUUCAUCAGAAGUCUACAGCCCUGGGGUCCUUGAAAGUGAACCUCAUCCUACUCGAAUCAGAUUUUCACUAUAAACAAAAAGGCUCUGUGAUUCCUCCAAGGCACAGAAGAACAAGAGAUUCCAAUCAGAUGACCUCCAGCUUGAUUUCAAAUACAACCAUUCUACCAGGAAGCUAUUCUCCCAAAUCUGUGAAGAAGAUUCUGAAAGCUGAAAGGUGUUAGAUACGGAAAGACAAUUCCCAAAAUAGUGAAAGAAAGAUUUCAUUAUUUUGUUACUUUUUUUUUUUUUCUUUUGGUAAUAAAGAAUUUGGUGGAGUUAGUUUCUGGCAGUGCAUACUUGGGUUGAAAACGUUCAUUUCCUUUGCCAAGCUGCCUAAAAAUAGUCUUUCUCCAGGCAAGGGCCAUCUCAACACAAGCUAUGUUCAUUCGAGGCAUGGCAUGUUUCAUAAAUGUAAUUACCUAUUAACCUGAAGAUUUCAAUUGCAACGAGAGAAAGAAUGUGAAUUAUACUUCUCGCAAAGUUGUGUGCCUCUCUUGUUUUGUGUGUAUAACAAUAAGUUCUUUCAUGACGUGACACCAUGGCAGUGGGUGGUGAAAUCUGAUACCUGGCAAAAAUACAAUGGAAUUAUAUAAUACCGAAAAAGUCAAUUGUUUUCCUCUUUGCUAAUUAACUCCUUUGAGCAGGGAAGUACCAAGGAUGAGAUCAGCUGGUGGCUUUGUUCUUCGGCUGGUUUCCAUGCCGUUUUAGGCACUGCGCAGUGCAUGUUUAUAAAUGGAAGAAGGAGUCCAGUGAUUAUUGGAACAGACGGUGAAAUGGAUACCACCAUGGCUUGGUAGCAGCUUCACUGACUCCAUGCAGUUUGUCUUUCCUGGGUUAUUGCCCAUCACUCAGGGGUGAGCAAAGAAGUCUGUCUAUGGGUCUGGUCUUACUUUUCCCCAGAGACCUUUGCACUGGUAUAUAAUAGGGCAGGCGCCCAUAGGAUUCUUUAUGAAAAAAUGUUGCCAGCUGUAGGUCUGACAUGUGAAAUUUGAUAUAAACUGGGACACAUAACAACCCAAUGAAGGAGCUGUCAUCCUUAUAGAUGAGAAAACUGAAGUUCAGAGAAACCAAGAUCAUGUGCAAGGAAAGUAAGCUAGAAGGUAACCGAGAUAAGAUUUCAAUCCAUAUCUUUCUCCAAAGCUCAGUGCUGUACGCUAUAUAACGUGUUCCUUUCACUGAUGUUGCAAAGGUCUGUAAAGAGGGUUACCCUGGUGGAUGAGUUCCUAAAGGGUAAUAAAAAUUAUUUUUAAAGUGACCUGAUAACAUACAGAUUUGUUUUCCUUCUUCUUUUCCUAGAUCUUCUGUAAUAGUCAUAUAUUACUUUUAUAAUAGCAACAGUCUUUGCAAUAUUUUUAGAAGAACUGAGGAGAAGAGACAUAGACACUGAGACAUGUAAUCUAUGUGAGAUUGAUCAGAAGAAUAUACUUAUGACCCUAGAAAAGGAAAGGAUUAUUUGAACAAAACCCAGAAAAAGCAUAUCAUCAAGCAAAUUGCUACAGUUGCCUGCAUUAAAAUGACAGACUUCUGCAUGAUAAAAGAAGCCAUGGUCAAAACGAAAAGAUAAGUCAUAGGGCAAAACGUAUUUUCAACACAUACAUCAAGGCAGAAUUAGUAUAUAGAAUGUAUAAAAAAAAACUUUAAAAAUCAGUAAGGGAGAAGAAAUAGACAAUACAUGAUAUAGUCAAAGAUUUUUAUUUGGCAAAUCAUAAAAAGGAAAACAUAAAUGUCCAGUAAAAUUAUACAAACAUGAUCAAACUCACUAGAGUGAAGGGAAACAUUGAAUGCCAUAUCACGCUCAUCUAUUUGGCAAAAAUAGGAAAGACUGGCAUAAUUAAGAGUUAUGAGUAAAGGUACGGAAAAUGGGAAAAUUAUUUACUGUUGGCAAAACUGUUACUUGGUGCAAGUACUUUUAGGUACAUGUGCCUGAAGGAAAUUUCCUAUAUUUUAGACUUUAAGGAAAAUGUGAACAAGGUUCCUCACUGAAGCAUUGUCUAUAAUAGCAAAAAUCUUGGAAUUAACUUAAUUAUCCAUUUGUGGUAUAUUCACAGAGAAGAUAAAAUAAAUGGUAUAUAGAUGACUCUUAAGAACAUUUGUUGAGGGGAAAAAAAGUAAUUUUUAAAAUGGUGUAGUCAAUAUGAUACCAUUGAUAUGUUUUUAAAAAUUCCAUAAAAUGUUAUAUAUUACCAUGUAUGUAUACAUAUUUGGUAAAAGUAAAAAACUGCAUGAGAGGCAAAC